GCCGGGCGUAGUGGCGGGCGCCUGUAAUCCCAGCUACUUGGGAGGCUGAGGCAGGAGAAUCGCUUGAACCCAGGAGGUGGAGGUUGCAGUGAGCUGAGAUCACACCACUGCACUCCAGCCUGGGCGACAACGCGAGACUCUGUCUCAA
rnacentral:sRNA from 1 species